GCAAGUGGGAGGAAGUGUCACAGCUCUUUUAUUUCUGCCACCCACAGCUUGGUGAGUAGGAGCAUUACAGCUCUUUUGCUCCCACAGUUCAGCAAAUUCUGAGUUCCUGUCCCAUGACCAAGAGGAAUGAGGAACAUGGACACCGGAGAAUGAGUAAGGCAGAGUAGAAUUUUAUUCAUCAGCGAGAGGGGACCUGAAAGCAGGUCGCCAUCUGUGAGGAUUAAAGUUAGGACCAAAUGCUGCUCAGAAAUUGUUUUAAUCUCAAAAGUAGUUGGCAAGUUUUCAGAGUUCAUUUUCAAGGCCUGGUGUAUGCAUUGGUUACAUGAAAACCGUGUGACAACCUUGGAAGUCUGAAAGAGCAGGAGAGAGGCUAAGCACACACAUAUUGUGAUUUUAAGAGUCUCAAGGUAGUGCCUCUCCAGAGCUGUAGAUGUCUUCCCAGGAUAUUCCAUCAUUCUACACAGCAUUUAAUUCUUGGAGCUCACAGUCCAAGACUGUUAUCAGUCCAUUUUCACUCUAUUGAUCAAGACAUACUCAAGACUGGGUAAUUUAUAAAGAAA
rnacentral:lncRNA from 1 species